rnacentral:rRNA from 1 species
AUUGAACGCUGGCGGCAUGCCUUACACAUGAAAGUCGAACGGUAACAGGUCUUCGGAUGCUGACGAGUGGCGAACGGGUGAGUAAUACAUCGGAACGUGCCCGAUCGUGGGGGAUAACGCAGCGAAAGCUGUGCUAAUACCGCAUACGAUUUACGGAUGAAAGCGGGGGAUCGCAAGACCUCGCGCGGACGGAGCGGCCGAUGGCAGAUUAGGUAGUUGGUGGGGUAAAGGACAACCAAGCCUGCGAUCUGUAGCUGGUCUGAGAGGACGACCAGCCACACUGGGACUGAGACACGGCCCAGACUCCUACGGGAGGCAGCAGUGGGGAAUUUUGGACAAUGGGCGCAAGCCUGAUCCAGCCAUGCCGCGUGCAGGAUGAAGGCCUUCGGGUUGUAAACUGCUUUUGUACGAAACGAAAAGGUUCUUUCUAAUAAUGAGAGCUCAUGACGGUACCGUAAGAAUAAGCACCGGCUAACUACGUGCCAGCCGCCGCAGUAAAAC